AAAAAAAAAAAAAAGGCUAUAACGCAGCUCUCUAAGGCAGUGCACCAAAAAGUGAUGUGUGAUGUGAAGCAAGGUGAGAGGAAAAUCAUGUUUGCUUCACCACAGACACUAGAGAACCGCAAUUUGCCGACUUUCUUCUUUGUGACUAACAAUCACCGAGAAGAGCUUCACAGCAGUGCGGCCUGUUACCGGAGCCAGAAAAUACUUGUUUUGCCUACAAGGGCAGUCUGUGCAUUUUAAGAUGAAGAUAUUGAAAAGCACCAGUGCCAAGACGGGCCC